GAUGAACGCUGGCGGCGUGCCUAAUACAUGCAAGUCGAGCGAACAGACGAGGAGCUUGCUCCUCUUACGUUAGCGGCGGACGGGUGAGUAACACGUGGAUAACCUACCUAUAAGACUGGGAUAACUUCGGGAAACCGGAGCUAAUACCGGAUAAUAUAUUGAACCGCAUGGUUCAAUAGUGAAAGACGGUUUUGCUGUCACUUAUAGAUGGAUCCGCGCCGCAUUAGAUAGUUGUUAAGGUAACGGCUUACCAAGGCAACGAUGGGUAGACGCCCUGACAGGGUGAUAGGCCACACGGGAACUGAGCCACGGUCAAGACUCCUACGGGAGGCAGCAGUAGGGAAUCUUCCGCAAUGGGCGAAAGCCUGACGGAGCAACGCCGCGUGAGUGAUGAAGGUCUUCGGAUCGUAAAACUCUGUUAUUAGGGAAGAACAAAUGUGUAAGUAACUAUGCACGUCUUGACGGUACCUAAUCAGAAAGCCACGGCUAACUACGUG
rnacentral:rRNA from 1 species